rnacentral:rRNA from 1 species
AUUGAACGCUAGCGGGAUGCUUUACACAUGCAAGUCGAACGGAGUGGCGGACGGGUGGUUAAUAUAUCGGAACGUGCCCAGUAGCGGGGGAUAACUACUCGAAAGAGUGGCUAAUACCGCAUACCAUCAGAGCGGCCGUUAUCGGAUUAGCUAGUUGGGGGGGUAAAGGCUCACUAAGGCAACGAUCCCUAGCUGGUUUGAGAGGACGACUAGCCACCCUGGGACUGAGACACGGCCCAGAAUCCUACGGGAGGCAGCAGUGGGGAAUUUUGGACAAUGGGGGAAACACUGAUCCAGCCAUCCCGCGUGUAUGAUGAAGGCCUUCGGGUUGUAAAGUACUUUUGGCAGAGAAGCGGUAUCUGCAGAAUAAGCACCGGCUAACUACGUGCCAGCAGCCGCGGUAAUAC